rnacentral:rRNA from 1 species
UACGGGGGGUGCAAGCGUUGUUCGGAUUUACUGGGCGUAAAGGGCGCGUAGGCGGUCAGCACAAGUCAGUUGUGAAAUCUCCGGGCUUAACUCGGAAAGGUCAACUGAUACUGUGCGACUAGAGUGCAGAAGGGGCAACUGGAAUUCUCGGUGUAGCGGUGAAAUGCGUAGAUAUCGAGAGGAACACCUGCGGCGAAGGCGGGUUGCUGGGCUGACACUGACGCUGAUGCGCGAAAGCGUGGGGAUCAAACAGG